rnacentral:rRNA from 1 species
CUAUGCGCCUUGCCAGCCCGCUCAGGUGUGCCAGCCGCCGCGGUAAUACGGAGGAUGCGAGCGUUAUCCGGAUUUAUGGGUUUAAAGGGUGCGUAGCGGGAUGCCAAGUCAGCGGUAAAAUGCGGUGCUCAACGCCGUCGAGCCGUUGAAACUGGCGUUCUUGAGUGGGCGAGAAGUAUGCGGAAUGCGUGGUGUAGCGGUGAAAUGCAUAGAUAUCACGCAGAACUCCGAUUGCGAAGGCAGCAUACCGGCGCCCUACUGACGCUGAGGCACGAAAGCGUGGGUAUCGAACAGG